UCUCUCUUUUCACAACUCCACAGCUACCCAGUCCCCGACUCUCUCCCCGACUCACUCCACAGCUACGCCCACUUUGAAGCCCUAAACUCUAAAUCCACCACCUCCGAAGCCCCGACUUUCUGGUACCAAUCCCUGCCUCCGAAGCCCUAAAUCUGAGAUUCGUCUUCAAAUCUAGUUUUCGGGUUCUUCACUUUUGAUUUGGGAUUCUUCACAAAUCACAUUAUCCAAGGCGACCUCUCUUUAUAUGAGCAGAAGAACCCGAAGCUCAAGCUCCUUCGACCUCAUGAACGGUUUAAGAGAUCGAGUCGGUGCCUAGCACAGAUAACGAAGAACCCCAUCGCAGCUGUCCAGCUCCAAAACUGAUUCUCUCCUGAAAGGUAAACAUCCCCAAUGUAAUUUCAAUUGAAAUUUCUGGGUUUGGUUUAGAGUCUCCUGUUAUUUUUUAUUUUUUAGGUUCUUGUGGGAGAGAAUUGGAUUGUAUGUUAAAGUGUGCCCAAGAAGAUGGGUUUGGCUUCAGUUUGAUGCAAGGCCCGGAAAUUCUUGAUUUGGGUGGAGUUUGAUGCAAGUCCCGGAAAUUUUUAAGGGUCUGCUAUUCAUUUACAUCAGUUGCUUAGAGGUAUUCGGAAGCUUUGGAAGGAGUA